GUGUUGUUUACAUGGGCAUUCCAGUCCAGUUUGUGGUCUAUAGUUACACCCAGGAGUUUGGCAGACUGCACUAAUUGGAGAUGAUGGGCACCCACUCUGUGUGUGUGUGUGUGUGUGUGUGUGUG